rnacentral:rRNA from 1 species
UACGUAGGGGGCAGGCGUUAUCCGGAUUUACUGGGUGUAAAGGGAGCGUAGACGGCAUGGCAAGCCAGAUGUGAAAUACCGGGGCUCAACCCCGGGACUGCAUUUGGAACUGUUAAGCUGGAGUGUCGGAGAGGCAGGCGGAAUUCCUAGUGUAGCGGUGAAAUGCGUAGAUAUUAGGAGGAACACCAGUGGCGAAGGCGGCCUGCUGGACGAUAACUGACGUUGAGGCUCGAAAGCGUGGGGAGCAAACAGG